GACGAACGCUGGCGGCGUGCUUAACACAUGCAAGUCGAACGGAAAGGCCCUGCUUUUGUGGGGUGCUCGAGUGGCGAACGGGUGAGUAACACGUGAGUAACCUGCCCUUGACUUUGGGAUAACUUCAGGAAACUGGGGCUAAUAUCGGAUAGGAGCUCCUGCUGCAUGGUGGGGGUUGGAAAGUUUCGGCGGUUGGGGAUGGACUCGCGGCUUAUCAGCUUGUUGGUGGGGUAGCGGCUUACCAAGGCUUUGACGGGUAGCCGGCCUGAGAGGGUGACCGGCGACAUUGGGACUGAGGUACGGCCCAGACUCGUACGGGAGGCAGCAGGGGGGAAUAUUGCACAAUGGGCGGAAGCCUGAUGCAGCAACGCCGCGUGCGGGAUGACGGCCUUCGGGUUGUAAACCGCUUUCGCCUGUAACGAAGCGUGAGUGACGGUAAUGGGUAAAGAAGCACCGGCUAACUACGUG
rnacentral:rRNA from 1 species